AUGAUGUGUAGAAGCUUAAACAUUUCCAACAGCAGAAACUCUGUGUGAUCUUGAAGAUCAAAUGGCAAGACCUCGUCACCAAUGAAUCUGUCCUUCUAAGAGGCAAUCUCCCCAGCAUUU